UACGGAGGAUGCAAGCGUUAUCCGGAAUGAUUGGGCGUAAAGCGUCCGCAGGUGGUGUUGUAAGUCUGUUGUUAAAGCGUGCGGCUUAACCGCAUAAAGGCGAUGGAAACUACAAGACUAGAGUGCGUUAGGGGUAGAGGGAAUUCCUGGUGUAGCGGUGAAAUGCGUAGAGAUCAGGAAGAACACCCGUGGCAAAAGCGCUCUACUAUGCCGCAACUGACACUGAGGGACGAAAGCUAGGGGAGCGAAUGGG
rnacentral:rRNA from 1 species